rnacentral:rRNA from 1 species
UUCGCAAUGCCCGAAAGGGUGACGAAGCGACGCCGCGUGUGGGAAGAAGGCCUUCGGGUUGCAAACCACUGUCGGGAGUUAAGAAAUGCAAGAAUGUUAAUAGCGUUUUUGCUUGACUAAGGCUCCGGAAGAAGCCACGGCUAACUCUGUGCCAGCAGCCGCGGUAAUACAGAGGCGGCAAGCGUUGUUCGGAAUUAUUGGGCGUAAAGAGCACGUAGGCGGCUAUAUAAGUCGGUUGUGAAAGCCUUCCGCUCAACGGGAGAACAGCAUCCGAUACUGUGUGGCUUGAGUGUGGGAGGGGAGAGCGGAACUUCUGGUGGAGCGGUGAAAUGCGUAGAUAUCAGAAGGAACGCCGGCGGCGAAAGCGGCUCUCUGGCCCAUAACUGACGCUGAGUGUGCGAAAGCUAGGGGAGCAAACGGGAUUAGAUACCCCGGUAGUCCUAGCCGUAAACGAUGGGCACUAAGUAGAGGGGUUU